rnacentral:lncRNA from 1 species
CUGCCAGGAAAGAAAUUGCACCUCAGUCCUUCCACUCCAAGAAACUUUAUUCGGCCACCAAGCGGAAUGAAUUUGGAAGCGGGUUCUUCCCAGAGCCUCCCAAUUAUAGUCCGGGCGAGUUGACACCUUGCUUCUGGCCUUCUACCAUCUGCAGCAGAGAAACCAAUCAGACUAGCCCUGACUUUUCACCUACAGAAUGGUGAGCCCUGCUGCAAAUUAUUGCAAACUGCCCCAUCUUACCUCUACUGGUUAAGUGCCACCAUGGGAUCUCACCAUCUUCAUUGUAACAAAAGAGUCCAUUCAAUGGCAGUGCCUCCUGCCUUUAUCCAAGGUCCAUCCACUUUUCAAAGAAGAUGGUGCUCUGCUCGCCAAUGUAUUUCUCAAUCUUGUGGUGAAGAGGAUGUUCUUUUGGAAUUCUGGGGAGUUGACACCAUGACUAUCAGGUUAGCAGGUAUAUGCAACAUACUGAAUCCACUCUUCCAGAACCAGAUGACUCACCCGUCAUUAUUAUAGUUUAUUAUCCCCCUACCAUUGUGAUAAGGAACUCUGCAACCAUCACCAGAUAAAGAAUUACAAGCUAGUCUGCUGGAUGAUGAGGGAGACAUGCUCUGGUUGUCUCCACAACUCCAACCAACAGCAUGACAUGUGAGAUGACUAUAUCACUGCCAGCUAACCACAGAUGCAUGAGCAAGUAGCUGAAGACCACCUAAAUUUGCAGACCACAGAAUUGUGAUCUAAAUAAAUGACUGUUAAGCCACUAAAUUUGGGGGAUGUUUCUUAUAUGGCAAAACUAAUUGAUAUACACUUUUAUG